UAGGGAAUCUUCGGCAAUGGGGGCAACCCUGACCGAGCAACGCCGCGUGAGUGAAGAAGGUUUUCGGAUCGUAAAGCUCUGUUGUAAGUCAAGAACGAGUGUGAGAGUGGAAAGUUCACACUGUGACGGUAGCUUACCAGAAAGGGACGGCUAACUACGUGCCAGCAGCCGCGGUAAUACGUAGGUCCCGAGCGUUGUCCGGAUUUAUUGGGCGUAAAGCGAGCGCAGGCGGUUUGAUAAGUCUGAAGUUAAAGGCUGUGGCUCAACCAUAGUUCGCUUUGGAAACUGUCAAACUUGAGUGCAGAAGGGGAGAGUGGAAUUCCAUGUGUAGCGGUGAAAUGCGUAGAUAUAUGGAGGAACACCGGUGGCGAAAGCGGCUCUCUGGUCUGUAACUGACGCUGAGGCUCGAAAGCGUGGGGAGCGAACAGGAUUAGAUACCCUGGUAGUCCACGCCGUAAACGAUGAGUGCUAGGUGCUGGAUCCUUUCCGGGAUUCAGUGCCGCAGCUAAUGCAUUAAGCACUCCGCCUGGGGAGUACGACCGCAAGGUUG
rnacentral:rRNA from 1 species